rnacentral:lncRNA from 1 species
UUCUUUGUGGCGUCCAUCGAUCCAUUCCAUUCCUUGUCCGAAUCUUGAGAGAGGCAUACGUCCAGCAGCAGAUCCCAUCCGCCAAUCUACUCUUUUCUCUAUCUUUUGUUUUAGAUUUCAUUCAUCCAAUCCAUAAAAAAAACAAAAGAAAUCAUAUCAUGUUUCUGUUCUUGUUCCUAUUGAAAACUCACUAAAAGUUCAUAUCUGUUUCAGGUACGAUCACAAGCAAGAGACGAACCGGCCAAUACCAUCCAUCCGAGGCAAGGCUGAACCGCGGAACGGCCAUCCGUCCGUCCGUCCGUCUGUCCGUUCGACCAUCCGACCCGUGCCUACAACAUUUUGGUAUCAGAGCUGAAGUUUCCUGCGAAACUCAGUUCUUUCUGAACCCUAGCCGUCACAAUUCAAAAAAAAAAAAAUAUUUACUUUCCUUAUUUUUAAAUUUUCGGAUUGUUCUCCAAGUUUUCGAUUUUUGCAUUUAAAAAAAAAAUUAAAAGAAGUUUUACUUUCUUUCCAAGUUUUCGGAAAAUCAAAAAAAAAAAAAAUUCCCUCUUUCCUUUUUCAAACUUGAUCCGAUUUUUAUCAUAAAGUUUUGCAUUUACUCCUAGUCUUGGUCGAUACUCAAGUAUCCGACCCAAGCUACUAUUUAAUACCCUCUUGCCUCUAAUUUUUAUUUGAGUAUUUUUUUCAGAGAAACCAUGGGAGAUGUAGGUCAAGAUCAAGCGGCCAUAAACGCUCAGCUCCUAGCCGACAAUGAAGAGUUGAGGGCGAGCCUUAGGGCUAUAACCGCCGAGCUUGCUCAGCUACGGCAGGGAGGCAGGCCCAACGGACCUCGACCACCAGGAAGGAAUCAGCCUGAUCCGCAUGACACUGACUCGGACGCGGACAGUACCGAUGAUACGCGCAGUCAGGACGAGGAGAGGCCAAACCGGGGAGGGAGGAGGAACGCGCGAGGACCCCGGGCCCAAGUAGGAGGAGGC